CGUGUAGGCGGUUAUGUAAGUCAGAUGUGAAAGUCUUCCGCUUAACGGAAGAAGUGCAUUUGAAACUACAUGACUGGAGUACGGGAGAGGAGAGUGGAAUUCCCGGUGUAGAGGUGAAAUUCGUAGAUAUCGGGAGGAACACCAGUGGCGAAGGCGGCUCUCUGGCCUGAUACUGACGCUGAGACGCGAAAGCGUGGGGAGCAAACAGGAUUAGAUACCCUGGUAGUCCACGCCGUAAACGAUGGGCACUAGGUGUAGGAGGUAUUGACCCCUUCUGUGCCGAAGCUAACGCAUUAAGUGCCCCGCUGGGGAGUACGGCCGCAAGGUUAA
rnacentral:rRNA from 1 species